GACGAACGCUGGCGGCGUGCCUAAUACAUGCAAGUAGAACGCUGAAGAGAGGAGCUUGCUCUUCUUGGAUGAGUUGCGAACGGGUGAGUAACGCGUAGGUAACCUGCCUUGUAGCGGGGGAUAACUAUUGGAAACGAUAGCUAAUACCGCAUAACAAUGGAUGACCCAUGUCAUUUAUUUGAAAGGGGCAAAUGCUCCACUACAAGAUGGACCUGCGUUGUAUUAGCUAGUAGGUGAGGUAACGGCUCACCUAGGCGACGAUACAUAGCCGACCUGAGAGGGUGAUCGGCCACACUGGGACUGAGACACGGCCCAGACUCCUACGGGAGGCAGCAGUAGGGAAUCUUCGGCAAUGGGGGCAACCCUGACCGAGCAACGCCGCAUGAGUGAAGAAGGUUUUCGGAUCGUAAAGCUCUGUUGUAAGUCAAGAACGAGUGUGAGAGUGGAAAGUUCACACUGUGACGGUAGCUUACCAGAAAGGGACGGCUAACUGCGUG
rnacentral:rRNA from 1 species